CGCGGGGUGGAGCAGUUCGGUAGCUCGUCGGGCUCAUAACCCGAAGGUCGUGGGUUCAAAUCCCACCCCCGCCAC
rnacentral:tRNA from 2 species